UCUUCCCCAAGCUCGACAACUCUCUCUCAACUCACUUUCUCACUCCGAGCACGAAACCCCUCCCACAAACGCUAAUUUUCGAGUGAAUCCUUACCAAAAAUCCAUUUUUUAGGUGUAGCUUGACCCAUAGUUUCGAGUGGCGGUGUUGCAUGUGGAGAUUAGGCACUCUAAACCAAAGAAAACCAACCCUUCUUUCUCGGUGCAAAACUUUGCGACGAGUUAACCCGAGGCUGAAUGAGAUCAGAGUACUUCAAACUCAUUUCAACCUCCACUAAAUCUCAGAUUCCAGCGAGGGACCGUAUUGUUGCAGGUCAUUUUCUGGCAACCUUGUGGCACGGCCUAAUUCCAUUUAGGUAUGAUUGUUAGUGGCGAUCCAGUUCUCCCUAGUUCGAGCGACUCCCCAUGAGUGGAAUAUUUGUGAGUGGAUCCCUUCUCAAAUGAAUAUUUUAUAAUUAACCGUCUAGCAUGCAAACUCAUAUUUCCUAAUUUGAAUAUGGAUAUUAUGCUUUGCUUUAUAGAUUUCUAGAUGAUGAUUUAUUUAAAUUACGUUUUAUGAAACGUUAUAAACUCUUGGUUUUACACUUAUAAAAUGUUUACGACUAUUGCUUUUAUGAACUAUGAGAUAUUUCAGAUUUAUGAAAGAUUAUGGAUUUGUGAUUUAUGAGAAUGAUUGAGUAAGUUAGAUAGCUUUCAUGGUUUUAUAUGAUUUAUGAGGCGAGGUUUGAGGCUUUCAAGCUCUAAUGUUUUGGCAUGAUUUUGGAGAGAUGUUUUUAGAGAUUAUCUAGUGGGUUAUCAUACAAUACAUACAACACAUACACACACACACACACACAAGUAUAGUCUAUAGCCAUAGGACACAUAUGAGGAUACUUAUGUUAUACCCUCAGCUUUACUGGCGAAACCAGUGUCGGACAGCUUCACUAGCGAUGGCUAGUGUCGGUGUGUUUGCCAUAUAUAGAUAUAUUCCUUCUCUGGUAUAACUCAGAGUCAAACAGCUUCACCUUCGGGUGAUGGGGCCUACCAUGUUUCUUCACUAGUGUAACCUAGUGUCGUACAGCUUCACCUUCAGGUGAUGGAUAAGUGCUGCCUUCGUGCGACUAUGAUACCCCUAGAGAGUACAGUUUUUAUGGGAUUUAUGGAUUUGCCUUCGGGCGUUUCGAUCAUGUUUUAGAGAUGAUUUUACAGUUACAAACAUUUCUUGCAUGCUAGAGUUUUAGAAAAACCUAUACAUAGUAUUAUAUGUGUUUUCAAAACAUAGGGAUAUAAUUUUUAGAAAUAAAAUGAUUUUUUUAGUGAUAGUAUUAUUAUAAAUCUUGGUCCAUUCAUCUUUUCUGUUUUUGCGCCCCCUUCAUGAUUUAGAUUUGAGGCACAUGAUUCUGGCGCCAGGUCAUCUUUGCGUAGGCAUCUUCAAGUCUUUACAGCGUAGGACCCACUCCUUUAUUCAUAUAUUUUAUUGUAAUUCUUUCAUAUAUUCCUUGAUUAGUUGUAUGCUUUAAACACAUUCCGCGUUGACAUAUUUCUUUUUAAUUAUUUAUUUUCUUUGUUUCACCUGACAAAUCCUCCCUGAACAUAAACCGACGCCAUGGAAAUGACAUUUGACUUUGAAAUUUAUAUAAAACUAACUACAUAAUGGGAACCGUGGAGUCCAAACAUACAUUUUGUGUGUGUGUGUGUGUUUUUUUUUAAUCUCUGCAAGGACUUGUAGAGAACCACUGUAACAUACUUCGCUAUAAACCUCUCUGUUGUCCCGAGUGCCACCACAGAUGGUCCAC